rnacentral:sRNA from 1 species
GUGCCUUUAGUGUGGGAGGCGAGGCCAUCUGGGGGUGUAUUCGCUGCUUCAGAACUGCCUUGACCAGAGCUCGGGGAUGCCCUUCUCGGUGCCCUCCUCCUGGGUGGAGGCAGGUUCUCUGGAGGUCCUGAGGCAGCUGCUGGGCAUGGGUUGAGCCACUGCACACCCUGCCUGGAGACAGCUCAGCUCCUCCCUUUGCCUUUCAAGAGCAAAUGCCCUGGAGGAGCAGCUGAAGGAACAGGAGCUGAGAGCCUGUGAGAUGGUCCUGGAAGAGACCCGGCGUCAGAAGGAGCUCCUGUGCAAGAUGGAGAGGGAGAAGAGCAUUGAGAUAGAGAACCUGCAGACCAGGCUACAGCAACUGGACGAGGAGAACAGUGAACUCCGGUCCUGCACGCCCUGUCUGAAGGCCAACAUUGAGCGUCUGGAGGAGGUGAGCUGCCAACAGCCUGGAGCUGUGGCCAGCGGGGCCAGACUGUGACCUGCCGGUGGGGCAGCCGAGGUAGCCCUGAGCUCU